GCCAGAACGAGAGAGGCGGAGAGAGAGGAGGAGCCUGGGCGGGAGGGGGCGGUAGCCUCGCAGAACUCCUCCCGCCGCCACCGAGGGCCGGGAGCUGUAGACUCUCCCGGCUCAGCGCCACUCGCUGCCGCGAGCCGGAACAACGCCCUGGCGCGCCGCGGACCGGACCAGAGCCCCCUACAGCGUCCCGUGCUGUGCCUUUCAGGCUCCUACCUGUGCUGGUAGCGCGCACCUGGCCUGGUCAAACCUGAACCGACGCCCCACUUCACCCCAGCUGAGCUUCGUACUGCUCCGCUGUCGCCUCCUGCGGAACCUGUACCUGUGUCUCCCAUCACGCCCAACUGAGCCCCCAAUCACCUCCGGCUGAAUCUGAAGACGCUGCGCCCCCAUACGCCGUGGUCGAACAUGACCCUUAUACCCUAUGGCUGAGCUGGACACCACUUUUUCAGCGAUCCCUGCUGAGACUUACUCAGCGUCCCAGCAUUCCCAAAGGAACUUUCAAACUCCCACAAAAUUUUCUGUGCAUAAAGUCACCGUAACACGGCUGCCCCCACCUGGCCAACCAGGGGUGCGAGGUUCUUAGUCCUCUGAAGAAUCAGACUGCUGGGACAAUGAUAGUUCCUCUGGUAGCUUGUAGCACUCCCAGCGUCCAGCUCUCAGGCCAGAAUAAAUAUACCUACAUCUCCCCACGCCCCCUGCCCACGCCACUCUGCAAUAGCUGCCUCUUACAGGGGGCGGGGCGGGGACGCUGAAAGCCACUCCCAGCCCAUCCCACUGGGAAAGUACUUCUCUCUGGACACCCGCACUAGGUCUGGAGGGACCUCGCCCCCCUCGCGGAAGCUGCUUUCACUCUGGAAAGCGUUGGCUGAAGCCGAGGGUGCGGCCGGGCUCGAUCCGUCAUCCGCCAGAGAUCCCGAGCUAAUGACAGCUACAGAACUGCCAAAUCCCGGCCGUCGUCAUUUUCUAUUUCAUUAGGAAUUGUAAAUCUUCCCUCUAGGGAACACUUUCAGUGAAUACUGUACAGAGAGGAUUGUUCACUUUUCAGGGAUGCUCUUUUUUGGUUGUUUACCCCACCCUUCCAAUAAAAAUUCAGUCAUGUAACCGUGACACACCCAGCAAGCAGGAAGGGGAAUACCCUAUUUCGAAGGUUUCAGUUCAGAGAUUUGUAGAAGGAAUCAGUAUUUCCAAAUCUUGGCUGAUGAAAAGAAUCCUGAGACACUUUGGGGGAAAAAAUGUAUUCCUAGACAUCGCCCAAUCUACUGAAUCAGGAAAAUGUAAAUUUGGGGAACUGUGCUAAAAUUUGUCCACAAUUAAAACCUUGGAAAG
rnacentral:lncRNA from 1 species